AUUGAACGCUGGCGGCAGGCCUAACACAUGCAAGUCGAACGGUAACAGGAAGCAGCUUGCUGCUUUGCUGACGAGUGGCGGACGGGUGAGUAAUGUCUGGGAAACUGCCUGAUGGAGGGGGAUAACUACUGGAAACGGUAGCUAAUACCGCAUAACGUCGCAAGACCAAAGAGGGGGACCUUCGGGCCUCUUGCCAUCGGAUGUGCCCAGAUGGGAUUAGCUAGUAGGUGGGGUAACGGCUCACCUAGGCGACGAUCCCUAGCUGGUCUGAGAGGAUGACCAGCACAACGGGAACGAAGACACGUUCCAGACUCCUACGGGGGGCAGCGGGGGGGAAUUUUGAACAAUGGGCGCAAGCCUGAUGCAGCCAUGCCGCGGGUAUGAAGAAGGCCUUCGGGUUGUAAAUUACUUUCAGCGGGGGGGAAGGGAGUAAAUUUAAUACCUUUGCUCAUUGACUUUCCCCGCAAAAGAAGCACCGGCUAACCCCGC
rnacentral:rRNA from 1 species